GACAUAGGUGGCGAACGUUAUCCGGAAUUAUUGGGCGUAAAGGAUGCGUAGAUGGUCGAAUAAGUUAUUGGUCGAUGCCAAACUCAAUUUGGCGGAAGCUGGUAAUACUGUUCAGCUAGAGGGCAGGAGAGGUUGAUGGAAUUCUGUGUGGAGCGGUGAAAUGCGUUGAUCUGCAGAGGAACACCAAAAAAGGCGAAGGCAGUCAACUAGUCUGUUCCUGACAUUGAGGCAUGAAAGCGUGGGGAGCAAACCGG
rnacentral:rRNA from 1 species